rnacentral:rRNA from 1 species
AUUGAACGCUGGCGGCAGGCCUAACACAUGCAAGUCGAACGAGUGGCGGACGGGUGAGUAAUGUCUGGGAAACUGCCUGAUGGAGGGGGAUAACUAAUGGAAACGGUAGCUAAUACCGCAUACCCUCAGUUGUGCCCAGAUGGGAUGUGCUUGAUGGUGGGGUAACGGCUCACAAAGGCGACGAUCCCUAGCUGGUCUGAGAGGAGGACCAGCCAAACUGGAACUGGGACACGGUCCAGACUCCAACGGGAGGCAGCAGUGGGGAAGUUUGCACAAUGGGCGCAAGCCUGAUGCAGCCAUGCGGCGUGUAUGAAGAAGGCCUUCGGGUUGUAAAGUACUUUCAGCGGGGAGGCGUUACCCGCAGAAGAAGCACCGGCUAACUCCGUGCCAGCCGCCGCGGUAAUAC